AUUGAACGCUGGCGGCAGGCCUAACACAUGCAAGUCGAGCGAGCGGCGGACGGGUGAGUAAUGUCUGGGAAACUGCCUGAUGGAGGGGGAUCACUACUGGAAACGGUAGCUAAUACCGCAUACCAUCAGAUGUGCCCAGAUGGGAUUAGCUAGUAGGUAGGGUAACGGCUCACCUAGGCGACGAUCCCUAGCUGGUCUGAGAGGAUGACCAGCCACACUGGAACUGGGACACUGUCCAGAAUCGUAAGGGAGGCAGCAGUGGGGAAUAUUGCAGAAGGGGCGCAAGCCUGAUGCAGCCAUGCCGCGUGUAUGAAGAAGGCCAACGGGUUGUAAAGUACUUUCAGCGGGGAGGCGGUACCCGCAGAAGAAGCACCGGCUAACUCCGUGCCAGCAGCCGCGGUAAUAC
rnacentral:rRNA from 1 species